AGUUUACUGCUAGUCACCCAGCCUCUCAUCUUCUCUUGUGACAUCAAGAUUUACAUUGAGUCUCUGGUCAAUGGUGCUCUCCCCCAACCCCCUCAAAGUUUUUAAUGGUGAUGGAUGUACGUGGUAAAGGCAUUAAAAAUUAAAGGUGGCUGGUUAUCCCCUCCUUUCUUGAGGAUGCCAUUUUUUGUAGCACUGAUGUUGCUUGCCACAUAUUAAUCCCACACAACACCUUCACAGCUUGGGCUGUCGGAAUUUGGAGCUCAAACCUGGUGUCCUCUGUAAGGAGUCUCUAUGUCCUCCCCAAGUGCUCUGGUCUCCUCCCACCAUCAAAAGACGUACCAGGUAGGUUAACUGCUCAUUUAAAUUGUCCCAGGAUUAGGUUAGGCCUAAAUCAGGGUUGUCAGGGGCUACAGGGACAGCACUGCUCGAGCAGCCGGAAGGCCCUACUCCACACUGUAUCUCUAAAUAAAUAACUAACUCAUGCUUCAGGCUGCAAGUCAUCCAUUAUUUAACAUUUUAACCAAACAAACCGUGCAUACAGAUUCCAAUUUGGAUACCAUCACAGUUAUCCACAUUAAUAGACACCCGCCAAACCCCACAAUUCAAUUCUGUCUUGUAAUCACGAGCAGGAACUUAUUCUAUACAUAAACCUACUGUAUCUCUCCAAUAACUUCCAGGAGAGUAUGAACCAUUUGAACUACUUGACUGUAUUCAAUCUACCAAUCACUCAAAAGAUCAAAUAUGAAGUACCUAAAUCUCUCAAUUAGGUCAAUAGGUAUCCUCUCAAAUCCUUGAUUAGAAUCAGUCUAGAAUCGUUCCACAUCCAUUAUUCUGUACACAAUGCCCUGAACCUCUCGAUUAGAAUCCAGUGUGUAAUCACUCCCAGGUAUCCAUUGUUCUAUAUAUGACCUCCUGAACCCCUGGACUAGAAUCCAGUCUGUAAAUACUCCCAGUUAUUCAUUACUCUGUAUAUAAACUCCCUGACCCCGUCCAUUGGACUCCAGACUGUUAUCACUCCCGGAACGAUGUGCUCUGCUAAGGCUGGACCAGAUGCCUCAGGUGUGCGGGGAUCGGUGCAGCCCUGCUAUCCAGCUCCAGGUAUGGGAUGGCUUCGUGAGGAUACCCGUCCCAAUUCCGGAAUGCAAGAAGCUGCGGAGAGACCAUUGUGAGGAUGGACCUCUUCAUUAUUGACAGAAUCUAUAGGAGGCACUGCCUCAAGAAGCUGACAUCAAACAUCAUCCGCGUCUUGCCCUCUUCUUGUUGCCACUGUCAGGGAGAAGGUACAAAAGCCUGAAGUCCCCACCCCAUCUGGUUUAGGAACUGCUACUUUCCUUGAACAAACCUGCAGAACCCUAACCAUACCUAAGCAAUGGGACACUAUGAACACCUCUUCCACUAACAUGGACAUUGUUUUGUAUGUUUAUUGCAUUAUGUAUUUGAUAUAACUUGUCCUCUGAUUUGUAUCUAUUCAUUUUAAAAAAUCAAUAAAAAAGAUUGAAAAUGA